rfam:Triticum aestivum genome assembly, contig: Triticum_aestivum_CS42_TGACv1_scaffold_592482_7BS
AUUCUACUCCCUCCGUUGCACAAUACAUGCCUUCUAUUUGUCAAAAUAUAUAAUGUAUCUAGACAUGUUUUAGUAUAUAGGUACAUCCAUUUUUGGACAAAUGGAAGUCAAGUAUUUUGGAACGGAGGGAGUACACA